CAGACACGUGGGUAUAUAUUAAAAAUACAAUGCAGCGGUUCAGUAGAGUUGGAGACAUUCAGACUAAUGAGAGAAGAGGGACACAGUCACCAUUAUGCGCGAUUUAAGGGCUGUUCUGUGAAAGAGAGAGAGGACUUUUUAUGUGUAACCCUUAGUAGCAGACAGAUUUCAGCUCCAGAGAAGAUGAGCAGACAAGCUCCUUGAGGGUAUGGAAUGUGUCUCCUCCACUGUUACAUCCUUACAUCUAGGACAGUGUCUGGCAAUGAAGUAAGCCUUAACUAAUGCCUGUUAGAUGGAUAAAUUAAUGUACUCAAGCAUCUGAGGACAGGUUAAACAGUUAGAAUCCUGUCUCAUUUGGAAAUUCUUUGGUUUAUGACGGUAGUUCUCUAGGAAUCAGAAGAAAGAACUCUUCUUGGUGGCUGGAGUGCCCAGGUAAGGCUUUGAGGAAGGGGAAAGAUGGAGCCUCUCUUCUGCAUCAGAUAACAUGACCAGAGAUGUGGGCCUUACAAUGCCAGAGGUGCAGUCUGCAAGUCUGGAAGAGGUGGAUUCUGUCGGACAUCAUCUGGGCUUUCAGUGCAUCUUUCCAAGAAGGAAGAAUGGUUUCCUUAGGCCAGUGUUUGUCAAGUUGAGGUGCAAGGAUUUCCUGCCGUUAAAAAUGCAGAUUCUUGGAUCUACCUCCAUGCUACUGAACGAGCACUACUGGGAUUGAGACUCAAGGAUCUAAA
rnacentral:lncRNA from 1 species